rnacentral:rRNA from 1 species
AGAUCUUGCUCCAAAAAGAUGAAUAAUUCAACAUCGAGGUCAUAAUCUUCUUCUUUUAUAAGAACUUUAAGAAGAAAUUGUGCUGUUAUCCCUACGGUAGCUUGGUUGAGUUUCAAUUUGAAGAUGGGAGUAGGAAAGUUAUAAAGAUUUAGUUUUUAACCGCCCCAGUUAAACAGAAGUAAAGUUCGAUAGGGUCUUGUCGUCCUUCUUAUAUAUACAAGUUUUUUUACUUGAUUGAAAAGUUAAAAUAAUUAGGAUAAUAAAGAAGUUUAUAUGUCAGACCUUUCAUUCUAGCCUCCAAUUAAAAGGCAAAUGAUUAUGCUACCUUAGCACAAGAAAAUUGCGGCUAUUAAAAAAAUCAUUGAGCAGGUCCUACUGAAUAUUAGAUCAUUCAGAAAUGUUUUUGAUAAACAGACAAUAAAAAUGGGCCGAGUUCAUGAGCCUAAGAUGAAUAGAAUCAAGGUUGGGGGGAAGUUAUAUUUCAAAAGGGUUUGAGUGAGUUUUACUAAUAAAAUCAUUAUGUGGGUUUUUAGUUGGUCUUCUUUUAAUAAGGUUUGACGGUAAAUAGAAGGGUAGUUUUAAAACUAAAGGACACUAUUAAUCCUCAAACUUGUUGGGUAAGAAAAAGGCAGCUUAUUUAAAAGAUUAUCCCUUUAAAGAUUUUAGUAUUUUUACUUUAAAGAAAAACCAGAUAUUUUGGAAUGCGUGUGGAAUUUCAUCUCUAUUUUUUCUUUAGAAAGUUUUUUGCAACAAGCUUGAAUAGAAAAAAUAGUUCAUUUCAAUUUCGGGAGUGUUUUUUAGAAAGUGUUGGUUGAUUGUCCCUGAUACUAAAGGUACAAUUUUUUUCUAUUCUACGAAUAGAGCGUCCCCCUCACGGUUGAAAUAUAAAAGAUAAUAAACAGGAAAGGUAAAAUAUUUGUUUAGAUAUAAAUUUAGAUUGGAGCU